rnacentral:lncRNA from 1 species
CAAACAGUUGCAUUCUUUGGGGUCUCUGAUUAGCCUUUCACUGAAUACACAAUUUACCUGUGAGAGGAGGGUAGAGGAAUAGUCACUGAUACCUUAGUCUGGCUCAGUGAAACAACAGGGCAAAGGAGGCGAUCAGAGGUGCAUUUGUCUCCGGUGGGCAGAAGGAUGGCUUUGAGCUCUGUCCGUCCCUCAUCCAAGGAAUUUCCUUGUGGGCAAGUUGUGAGGGAGUGGAAACGGAGGCACAGGAGGAGAAGGAGGCUGGCAAAGUUCACACAGAGGACUGUAAAUCGCUGGUGCAGGCUGGAUGGGGGGCAAGAGCCUGGGGCUAAUGUUUUCAGCAGACCCACUCCACAGGCAUGCAGUGUCCGUCAUCGUAUCUAAGCCUCACGGCAACAUUCCAAGUAGCCAAACUUUCCUGACUUGUGUAGUAAUUUAGCCAAUAUUGCAUGAGGUACAGUUCCAGGAACCAGAGAGACGAUGGUCAACAGGAGACCCAUGGAGUGCACAUAGCAGGAGGAGGCACACAGGCCACAGACAACGAUAGCCAGGGGGCAAGGGCUCUGCAGUCAGCACAGAGCUCCAACCUCACACAGAGGCCUCACUGCAAAGGCGGCAUCUUCUCUGGACCCGACUGACAAGGCGGCUGGCUCUCCACAGGUCGGCAAGAACAUUCCAGGCAGAGGGAAAAACAAACACUGAUGUUCCAAGGCAGGCCGGUGCUCAGGUGUUUGAGGAAUGGGGAAAACCCUGGAGUGUGGCUGGAACAUGGAACAUCUGGGAGUGUGGGAAGAGAAGGGUCAGGUUUUGUUUUUUUAAUUUCCACUGCAUUGUGACCAAUGCUUUUGUAAGAUAUGAAAUCAAAUCAUGUGCCUGAACACUGCAUCAGACAAACUGCCAUGAACAUUUCCAAUCACACACACCCAGUUUCCGUGUUUCAUCUCGGACCGGCGCCACUCUGCAGACAAAAUACGGAGCUGCUC